rnacentral:lncRNA from 1 species
GUCCUGCAAUAUUUCCAUUUUUCGUGUGACUUGCUCGGGAAUUUCCAUCAUGCUUACCAGAAGUGAUCUGUAUGCGAUGUAUGCAUGAAUAUAAAGGUUCACUGCCUUUAUAAAACAAACAAAACUGUAUCCUUUUGGUGUUUAGAUUAGGGUUUCUCACUGAACGUAUUGGAUCUAUUAUAGCUCCUCUAGCAUUCCGGAAAAGGAAGCACGCCCUAACGUAGUGAAACUAAAUAUAAUUCAUCUGGAUUUUAAUUUAAAU